AACGAACGCUGGCGGCGUGGAUAAGACAUGCAAGUCGAACGAGAACUUUUUGAAGCUUGCUUUUUGAAGUUCUAGUGGCGAACGGGUGAGUAACACGUGAGCAACCUGCCUGGAAGCGGGGGAUAGCCUGGGGAAACUCGGAUUAAUACCGCAUAUGAUCGUACGGGACAUCCUGACACGAUUAAAGGCGCCUUCGGGUGUCACUUCCAGAUGGGCCCGCGGCCUAUCAGCUUGUUGGUGAGGUAACGGCUCACCAAGGCGAUGACGGGUAGUUGGUCUGAGAGGAUGGUCAACCACACUGGAACUGAGACACGGUCCAGACACCUACGGGUGGCAGCAGUCGAGAAUCAUUCACAAUGGACGAAAGUCUGAUGGUGCGACGCCGCGUGGAGGAUGAAGGCCCUAGGGUUGUAAACUCCUGUCAUCAGGGAGUAAAGCAUCGGUCAAGAUAACGGUCCGAUGCCUGAUAGUACCUGAAGAGGAAGAGACGGCUAACUCUGUGCCAGCCGCCGCGGUAAAAC
rnacentral:rRNA from 1 species